CCUACGGGAGGCAGCAGUGGGGAAUAUUGCACAAUGGGGGAAACCCUGAUGCAGCGACGCCGCGUGAAGGAUGAAGUAUUUCGGUAUGUAAACUUCUAUCAGCAGGGAAGAAAAUGACGGUACCUGACUAAGAAUCCCCGGCUAACUACGUGCCAGCAGCCGCGGUAAUACUUAGGGGGCAAGCGUUAUCCGGAUUUACUGGGUGUAAAGGGAGCGUAGACGGCAUGGCAAGUGUGAUGUGAAAACCCCGGGCUCAACCCCGGGACUGCAUUGGAAACUGUCAGGCUAGAGGGUCGGAGAGGGAAGUGGAAUUCCUAGGGUAGCGGUGAAAUGCGUAGAUAUUAGGAGGAACACCAGUGGCGAAGGCGGCUUGCUGGACGAUGACUGACGUUGAGGCUCGAAAGCGUGGGGAGCAAACAGGAUUAGAUACCCCAGUAGUC
rnacentral:rRNA from 1 species